GUUUUGUAGAUAUAAAACGUAACAAAGAUGAAUUGUCGACUAUUGUUAGUUUUGUGCUUAACCAGUAUUGUUUAUGGUCAACAUAACGUGAUAUUUGAUAAAAAUAGGGGAAAUUACAACGACGCGUUCAAAAUGGCUCGUCACUUUUGUUAUCGAUCUGGACAUAUAUCAGACAUUUUUAAGGGUUCUUUCGUGUGAUAUUCGAUCGGCAAUAAGUCUGGCGC
rnacentral:lncRNA from 1 species